rnacentral:rRNA from 1 species
UACGAAGGGGGCUAGCGUUGCUCGGAAUUACUGGGCGUAAAGGGCGCGUAGGUCGGAUAGUUCAGUCGGGGGUGAAAGCCCGGGCUCAACCUCGGAACUGCCUUCGAUACUGGCUAUCUUGAGUACGGGAGAGGUGUGUGGAACUCCGAGUGUAGAGGUGAAAUUCGUAAGAUAUUCGCAAGAACACCAGUGGCGAAGGCGGCUUACUGGUCCGGUUCUGACGCUGAGGCGCGAAAGCGUGGGGAGCAAACAGG